rnacentral:rRNA from 1 species
ACCUACAGCCAUACCAGUCUGAAAGUGUCUGAUCUUGUCAGAUCUCAGAAGCCAUCUGUACUCGGGCCUGGUUAGUACUUGUAUGGGAGACCAACUAGGAACCUCAGGUGCCGUAAGCU